CCUCCUUAUUAAUAACGCCACCCGCCCCCGCCGCUCACGAUGGCGCCAGGCAUAGAGGGGGAUGGGACCAGGCGGUGGCUGACCCUCAGACAGUGCUGGUUCUUUACGAAUCAGUCUGCAGACUCCAGGGCUACCCCUUCGAACCCCACUUACUGACCAAGCAAGAGCAGGAGAGCGUGCCUAACUCGAGGUCCCCAGGUGGGCAGCGUGGAGCCCCACAGACUUCCAACCAGCGAUGGACUGGGCAAGGGACCCACGUUCAGAAUCACCUAGCAUCAGGUCCGCCAACAGGCCAGAAUCCACUCGCCCCUCGCUUCGUCCCCCUAAUUCCUCGUCCCCAUUACCCCCCUUCACCGCCUCCGUUUUGCCUCCGGAUCGCAAAAGUGACCCGAGCUUUAACCAGUGGAGAGAGAUCAGGGAACAAUUCACUGUCCCUAUUCUCAUCCAUGUGGUAUUUUCUGGGAAAAUUAGUGGCUUCUAGCUGGAAGAGGAA
rnacentral:lncRNA from 1 species